UACGUAGGGUGCUAGCGUUAAUCGGAAUUACUGGGCGUAAAGCGUGCGCAGGCGGUUUUGUAAGUCUGUCGUGAAAGCCCCGGGCUCAACCUGGGAAUUGCGAUGGAGACUGCAAGGCUAGAAUCUGGCAGAGGGGGGUAGAAUUCCACGUGUAGCAGUGAAAUGCGUAGAGAUGUGGAGGAACACCGAUGGCGAAGGCAGCCCCCUGGGUCAAGAUUGACGCUCAUGCACGAAAGCGUGGGGAGCAAACAGG
rnacentral:rRNA from 1 species